GACAGAGGUGCCAAGCGUUAGGCGGAAUCACUGGGCUUAAAGCGUGUGUAGGCGGGUGCCUAAGUACCUUGUGAAAUCCCACGGCUCAACCGUGGAACUGCUGGGUAUACUGGGUGCCUUGGGUCAUCUAGGGGCUGCCGGAACAAAUGGUGGAGCGGUGAAAUGCGUAGAUAUCAUUUGGAACACCAACGGCGAAAGCAGGCAGCUGGGGAUGCACCGACGCUGAGACACGAAAGCCAGGGGAGCGAACGGG
rnacentral:rRNA from 1 species